CCCUGGGGAGGAGACACAGAACAGGGUUGCUAGGUGGGAGGCAUGCAGACGCACAAACAAACACACAUGCUUGCAAAGUACAGUGCCGAGUGACACCAGGGCCCAGGGCAGCUCCAGAUCAGCUGCCUGGUUUUGUCUCUGUAUGGCAGAUGUUGUCACACAGUGACAAAACCCAUCACGUUCGUAAUUGGAGGAAGAGCAAAAUCUCAGAUGGCCAAGGAAGUUACCACAGGAGACCGGGAAAGAAAUUACACGGAUAAACAUCUAUCAUUCUUACAGCCAAGACAGGGAGCAAGAUCUCUUCCUGAAGGUGCUCGGUAUGCAGACCUGCUCUCACUAGGUGCCCUGUUCAGUCUUACAGAUUUAAUUAUUAAACCGAGAAAAUAUGGGUGUGAUGAUGCAUGCUGACUUCAUGCAUGGUGCAGGUUGUGACAUCCCCAUCAGAAGCCCAUGCUCAUGACAACUCAGGCAAGCCAGUCCUAUGGCUGCCUCGGAGUGCAAGGGCAUGGAGCUUCCAGGCCCAGCCCAUGGCAGCAUGCAUGUCCUGAGCAGGUGUGGGUUGGUGCUGAUGUCCAUGGCCAGGAAGCAGUGUGGUGUUCACCCUCCUGCACUCACUGCUCAGCCCUCCUGGCUCUGCUCUCAAGCAGUAGGGGUUCUGGGGGAGGUGCACACCUACACCACAUCUAUGUACUUGCUAAUUCUAGGAGCCAGAGUCCCUGGGGAAGCUGGAUGGGACUCGCUCUGCUGCUGGCCACAGGCUUCUAGAACAGGCUCAAGAUACCCAGGGAAAGAGCAAAAUGGUACAGGAUGCAUCUGGCCUGGAAAACACAGGGGGCAUCUGGCCACCCCCUGCGGCAUUACCCCCCACCAGAGCCACUGGCUGCACACUCAGCACCAGGACAGCUUUGCUGCUGCUGCUGGCACAGGAGAUGAGGCAAAAUGGUACUUCCUUGGCUAUUCCCUCUGCUCCCUAUCUCUCCAAAACCUGGGCACAGGGAAUGAAAAUGAGAAUGAAAACUGCAUCCAGAUGCAUAAUAAAACCAAAAAUCCCUAAGAAAAAAAACUAUAAAACAAAGAAAAACCACAUGGACAAGAGAAAUCCUGCUUUUACAGAGCAGGAGGCUGGGAACCACCCAGAUAUUUGUCAACACAGGCAAGCAAUUCAGAUGGCUCAGGAGCAGCCCACACCGCCCUCAACCUGUCUCAGCCCAGCUGCCCUGUCCCUCACACCUGGGCUGUGCUGGUGUGGGGGUAAUGCAGCAGACCAGCAGCCCCCCACCUUCUCCUAUCCCUCUGCUUGCUCCCAGCACAGGGCACAAAGGUGUAACCAUCCUGGGGCACAGCCAGGGCAGACUGACUGUCUGCCACUGUCUCCCACACAGACACAGCCCCGACGGGUCCAUACAUCUCACUGCCAUAACUACUGGAAUCUCACCACAAUUCCUGACAGCGCUGGGGCAAGUUGGCCCCCAAAAGCACUACAGACCUGCUCUAGGCACAGAGGACGGUGUCAGCCUGUGCUUACACAGUACCUUCUUCUAGUGAGAGAUGUGCUUACAGUAACACAUAUGGCUGGUACUCAGCAGACAGGAGCACGAGGGUUGCUUGUGCUAUGGUACCCAACCCGUGCCCCUGACCCUCCCUGAAAAUCCCAGGCUGGCUGUGGGUCAUAUGAUAUGCCCCGAUGAUCCAGCCAGUUGGAAGGGUGCCCUGGAGACUCCAGCCCAGGCCAGCCUUUGUCCAUCCCUAAUGGACUCCUGUGCAGGCAAGGAGUGAGCCUGAGGGGUGGUGCGGCCCGGAUCUGGCCUCAGCCCCUGCUUCCGCACCUCAUGGCCCUACUGCUGUGAUAGCAGCCGUCUGGAGAGUUCAUUUAGCAACUGCAGUCAUUAAGGAGUCACACUCGCUGGUCUCCAAGUCUUAAUGUAGCCAAUUCCCAACAUUAACAAUUGUUCUUCCUUACACUGUCAGCCACUAAAUAUAGCUGCCAGUCCACUCAGCACAGAGCUGAUGUUAUCUGCUUUUACUGGCUCUGUUGCUUGCUGGAAGUUUUCUUUCAUACCACGGAAAAGUUCUCUGCUCAGGGAGAUGGAAAAAAAAA